AUACUCCGAGAACUGAAAGGCUUUUUGAAGUCUUCGGAUGGAUAGAAGAACCCCUGAUGCCGUCGAGCCAAGAAAAGUUUCUAAGUUUAGCUAAUGUUGCCCGUACCGUAAACCGACACAGGUGGGUGGGAUGAGUAUUCUAAGGCGCGUGGAAGAACUCUCUUUAAGGAACUCUGCAAAAUAGCACCGUAUCUUCGGUAUAAGGUGUGGUUCGCUUCGUACUAGGAUUUACUCCGAAAGCGAAGAAACUUACAACAAAGAGUCCCUCCCGACUGUUUACCAAAAACACAGCACUCUGCUAACUCGUAAGAGGAUGUAUAGGGUGUGACGCCUGCCCGGUGCUCGAAGGUUAAUUGAUGGGGUUAGCAUUAGCGAAGCUCUUGAUCGAAGCCCGAGUAAACGGCGGCCGUAACUAUAACGGUCCUAAGGUAGCGAAAUUCCUUGUCGGUUAAAUACCGACCUGCAUGAAUGGCGUAACGAGAUGGGAGCUGUCUCAAAGAGGGAUCCAGUGAAAUUGUAGUGGAGGUGAAAAUUCCUCCUACCCGCGGCAAGACGGAAAGACCCCGUGGACCUUUACUACAGCUUGACACUGCUACUUGGAUAAGAAUGUGCAGGAUAGGUGGGAGGCUUUGAGUAUAUGACGCCAGUUGUAUAUGAGCCAUUGUUGAGAUACCACUCUUUCUUAUUUGGGUAGCUAACCAGCUUGAGUUAUCCUCAAGUGGGACAAUGUCUGGUGGGUAGUUUGACUGGGGCGGUCGCCUCCCAAAUAAUAACGGAGGCUUACAAAGGUUGGCUCAGAACGGUUGGAAAUCGUUCGUAGAGUAUAAAGGUAUAAGCCAGCUUAACUGCAAGACAUACAAGUCAAGCAGAGACGAAAGUCGGUCUUAGUGAUCCGGUGGUUCUGUGUGGAAGGGCCAUCGCUCAAAGGAUAAAAGGUACCCCGGGGAUAACAGGCUGAUCUCCCCCAAGAGCUCACAUCGACGGGGAGGUUUGGCACCUCGAUGUCGGCUCAUCGCAUCCUGGGGCUGGAGCAGGUCCCAAGGGUAUGGCUGUUCGCCAUUUAAAGCGGUACGCGAGCUGGGUUCAGAACGUCGUGAGACAGUUCGGUCCCUAUCUGCCGUGGGCGUAAGAAGAUUGAAGAGAUUUGACCCUAGUACGAGAGGACCGGGUUGAACAAACCACUGGUGUAGCUGUUGUUCUGCCAAGAGCAUCGCAGCGUAGCUAAGUUUGGAAAGGAUAAACGCUGAAAGCAUCUAAGCGUGAAGCCAACUCUAAGAUGAAUCUUCUCUAAGCUCUCUAGAAGACUACUAGUUUGAUAGGCUGGGUGUGUAAUGGAUGAAAGUCCUUUAGCUGACCAGUACUAAUAGAGCGUUUGGCUUAUCUUUAAUAAAGCAU
rnacentral:rRNA from 1 species